rnacentral:rRNA from 1 species
AGACAGCAGUAGCCGCGGGAAUACGGAGGAUCCAAGCGUUAUCCGGAAUCAUUGGGUUUAAAGGGUCCGUAGGCGGUCUUGUAAGUCAGUGGUGAAAGCCCAUCGCUCAACGGUGGAACGGCCAUUGAUACUGCAGGACUUGAAUUAUUGGGAAGUAACUAGAAUAUGUAGUGUAGCGGUGAAAUGCUUAGAGAUUACAUGGAAUACCAAUUGCGAAGGCAGGUUACUACCAAUUGAUUGACGCUGAUGGACGAAAGCGUGGGUAGCGAACAGGAUUAGAUACCCCUGUAGUCCCUGUCUCUUAUAC